UCCUUAUUAAAAUGAACCCUCACUUGCUGAUCAACAAGGGAAAAUGUGUAUAAAUGAUGUGUGUCUGACGUCCAAACCCAAACUCUGAAACCACCUGAUGAACAUCUACACACUCCUGAAAUCAAAGGAGACUCUUCAGGACAAGGCUGUAGAAUUAGCGGGGAGAGAGGAGACGUGUCCAGACCAAUAUCCACCCAUUACUGAAAUGACCCCAUCAAUAAUUUAGUCACGUCCGAAAUAAAAUAAUGCUGUCAACUCUCAUUAAUGUAAAUGUACAGAAAGGGUUCAAUCCUGUUCUCCAUCUCCCUCAAACACAUAUGGACAUGGCGAUUGGCUGUGCCUUUCUCUGCUGUCUAGUGAGCGGCUGCUACGGUUCGUUUAGAUGUUUGCAGCACAAAACUAGAAAGGAAAUUAUCCAGUCAGGAUUUACUGUAUUAGACUCAACUGAGACGAGGACAUAAUGUAAGACAAGCGACAUAUUAAAGACAAGUGUAAGUCACUUCAAGUCAAGUUUGCUGCUAGUCCACCAUAACAGUAGGCAUGACUGUAAAUAAUCAACAUUUAUUUCUGAUUUUGGCCUCCAAAACAAUUAUUAAAAAACAAUAAUCAAGAUAAAAUAGUUGUUGCGUCACAUGUCUGCCCCUUUCCAGAAGAUUAAUUCCUCCUCAAACUGAAAUUGUGUAAAUAUUGCAGCAUGAGACCUGCUUGAUUUCAUGUUGUUUUUAGUAUUAAGUGUAUUAGAUUUACUUAUUUACAAUGUUUUCAAAAGCCUGAAAUGAAGCGCAUGAACAGAACAGCACAUGAGAAUGAUCAUCAUUUCAGCUCAUCACUUCUUCUUUGUUUUUGUGUGCAGGUGGAGAGUAAAUCUACACUCUUGCUUUGAGCACAGGCUCAUUUAAAAAUGUUUAUAUUUGAAUAUUAGGGUUUUGUUAAUGCUGAUCUUGCUGAUCUGUGUUCAGUGUGAGCUGGAGGUUUUGAAUGUGUGUCCUGCCCCUGACACUGGAGCUCAAUAUCAGUCUGACUGUGAAUCAGCAUCUCUGUCCUUCAGUUCUCUGAGCUUCAGUGAAGAUGAAGACGCUCGCUCUGAUCAUCUGCUCUCUGCUGCUGAUCCUCCACGAGUGUGGAGGACAGAUCAGCGUCACUCAGAGUCCCUCAAUCACAGCAGAACCAGGCAAACCCGUCACCAUCACCUGCAGAACCAGCACAAAUGUGUACAGGGAUAGUGAUGGAGAUGACUACUUAUUCUGGUAUUUGCAGAAACCUGGAGAAGCUCCUAAACUCCUGAUUCGUUAUGUGAAAAAGCUUCAGUCAGGAACUGCAUCUAGAUUCAGUGGCAGUGGAUCUAACAGAGAUUUCACUCUGAGCAUCAGUGGAGUCCAGACUGAAGAUGCUGGACAAUAUUACUGUCAGAGUUACCACUACAUCAACAGUAAUAAUGUGUUGACACAGUGAUAAAGAGUGGUACAAAAACCUCCGUCAGUCAGUCAGAGUCACAGAGACUGAACUGAUCCUGGAGCAGCUCACAGGAGGAUGUGAAACUACAGUCACUCAAGCAUCAGAAAUAAAAUCAUCCAGAUGAAUCUGUCACUCUUCAUCAUCACAGAGAGCAAAAGUCAAAGCACUCAACAAAAACAAGUUUACAGACUCAACAGUGCAGAAUAACUUAAUAUAACUGUAAUAUCAGUUUUAUUGAAGGUUUAUCAGCAAUUUAAAUAUAAAUAUAAAUCAUGGAUAAAUUGGAUCUAAUAGUUAAACCAAUCAAACAGUGUUCAGAGUUUCUGCAGCUCAGAAUAGAGCAGAACAAACCACAUUUACAGCCCUCAAAUAUUACAAACAUCACAACCAUCGACACACUGAAUAUAUCCCUAAACAUAUCUCUGAAUAUCUCUCUGAAUAGAAUCACUCCAUUACAC